rnacentral:misc_RNA from 1 species
CAGAGGAAGAAUCGUGGCGACCGCUUAUCCCAACUACUUAAUGAUCAUUAAAGUGGCGGCUGUCGCGCGAAACGUUCGAGAGAAACGCUUUUGUGCUGCUCCAACCGGCCACCAUCUGCGCCGUAAUUAGCAGACCGCUGUGUAAGCCUCUUCGGGGAACGGAAGGAAGGGCAGCCUGUUUGCUGGAACUCCUGACGAGCCGGGAUAGGAUCGGGGAUAUCGCAGCCGGUAUCUAAACUCGCCGAGAUGCGUCCACCGGCCACUGUUUGCUCAGUGAACGUAUCAGGGGAUCUAGAGUCAACAAAAUGCAUUUGAAUCGGAGAGCUUGCGCCUCGCAGAAACCGCUUGCUUUUUGAAGAUUAAAAUUCACCCAGGGGAAGAAAUUGUCGCGGUUUUAAGUGGCUUAAGACACAGAGCCGUAGAUCCACAACAGUAUUGCACGAUCGUUUAUCAUUGGUAGUUGCGAGGUUAGGUUCCAUUAGCCUGUGCAUACGUCAUGUGCGAGAGUAGCUUCGUGUAAUUAGUUGGAUAUCGGGAAAGGAAAAUAAUACAUUUCUAAGUAG